rnacentral:rRNA from 1 species
GACGAACGCUGGCGGCGUGCUUAACACAUGCAAGUCGAACGGAAAGGCCCUGCUUUUGUGGGGUGCUCGAGUGGCGAACGGGUGAGUAACACGUGAGUAACCUGCCCUUGACUUUGGGAUAACUUCAGGAAACUGGGGCUAAUAUCGGAUAGGAGCUAUUGCUGCAUGGUGGGGGUUGGAAAGUUUCGGCGGUUGGGGAUGGACUCGCGGCUUAUCAGCUUGUUGGUGGGGUAGUGGCUUACCAAGGCUGUGACGGGUAGCCGGCCUGAGAGGGUGACCGGCCACAUGAGGACUGAGAGACGGCCCAGACUCCUACGGGAGGCAGCAGUGGGGAAUAUUGCACAAUGAGCGGAAGCCUGAUGCAGCAACGCCGCGUGCGGGAUGACGGCCUUCGGGUUGUAAACCGCUGUCGCCUGUGACGAAGCGUGAGUGACGGUAAUGGGUAAAGAAGCACCGGCUAACUACGUG